GUAAGUUACAGUAUUAGGCUUGCAACCUUGCUUCACCAUAUUCUUGAACAACUUAACAGCCACAGAAGGAUUCCCUCUCUUGCAGAUGCCGUGAAUAAUUGUGUUAUAGGUAACAACAUUGGGUUGAAUAAGUUCAAAUCUGAUGAGGUUCUGAAACAAAAGCUGAGCCUCUUGAAGCAUAUCUUGCGAAAUAAGGCCCCUGAUGAGAGUGGUAUAAGUAACCACACUUGGCACAAAUCCGUGCUUGAUGAUUCCAGCCAGUAAUGAAAAGGCAAAAUCGACACGAUUCAAAUGACAAAAACAGUUGAUGAUAGUAUUUAUGGUAACUAUAUUAACAGGGAUGCUAUUUACACGCAUAUCCCUAAAGAGAGACACAGCUACAGAGUACUCUUUCAUUUUAACAAGGGCAGCUAAUAGUUGAGCGAAGUUGAUAACAGGUAGCAGAGGUUUGAUCAGGAGCAUUUGAUCAAACACUUGAAGAGCAUCAUCAAGUUUAUCAAAACCGAGCUUAGAUUUCUCAAGGAGUAAACGUUGAAGUCGAGCAUGAGUUGAAUUGGAGGAAUAAGGGAAAUAAUUAGGGUUAGGUUUGGUGGAGAAGCGAGAGAGUGAAUGAAAAUGAAAGCAGCAGGUGAAAUUACCUGAUGAACGUUCCAGCAGUAACUGAGAUUUCAAUGGACCCAAAGCACUCAUCAAUCUCUUCUUCAUCAUCAUCUUUCGAUUUCUCUCCUUCACUGUGUGCUUUUAUUUACCAACAAAAUACCAAUCUACACUGUACUGCAAUAACCUAACACGAGUAUAAUUUCUACCUGCAACAUCUAUUUAUCUAUUUAAAUUAUUUAAAUUAUAAAUCCUACUACAUAUUUGGGUAUGAAUUGUCCAGUUUGUCCCUCACCUUUUGUUGUAUCUACUGUAUUUUGCCACUCCAUACACUUGCUUUAUACGGUAUAACAACGUGGCAUCUCUUUCAGCCACACAACACAGCUGAUGUACACAGCUCAUACACAAAUCUUCUCAUGUACACAACUCAAUACACAAUUAGGGUUCAAAAUUAAAAUGAAAGCCGAGUAACCUCUCCCGCGUGAGCUCUGGAGAUUUCCGCCGUGUUCUUCAUCUUCUUCUCCGAGCCUUGCUUUCAUUAUGGAAGAGGUAUCUCUCACCCCAUCUCACUGUAUCCCCUCUAUGUGUACUGUUUCUUCAUACAUAGCCCCCCUCCUGAUUCUACUUCAUCUCCCAGAAUUUGAAUUUGAAAUUUGUUGUAAAAACAACAUAUGUUUCCCCCCUGCGAAUUAGCUGUUAAUUGCACCUACCACAUUUGAUUUCACAUCUCAUUACAGCUUCUUCCUCCGUAUGCUUUCUUUGAAAUUAUAAGAUGUAAGAUAGUUUCUUUUUGAUUAUCUUUUAUUUAAUCCGGUCAUAUCUUUAAUCAGAAGUUGUUGUGGAUAUGAUUGUUUUGUGAUUCUAUAGACAUAAUUACUUUGUAUAAUCAUGUUUUAUUGGUUUGCUUUGCAACUGUUUGAUAGAAGUCCUAACUUAAUUUUUAAGUUUUUUUUUUUUUUACAGUUUUGCUGUUUUGCGAGUUCAGAUUACAUCAUAUAUAUGCAAGAGGCUUGAAAAGGUAAUUUUUGCACUCAAAUUUUUGUUUCUAUAUUGAUUUAAUUCAUUCCACUCUCCAUGAGUUUAAUACACGAUUUUUAUGUAUUAUAUAUGAUUUUUCAUUUGUUUUUUUAAACAUGUCUGCUUAUUGGUUUGACUUGCAUUAUUUAAUAUUUUUAUGAAAAUCUAUUUGAGGCGUUAGAUAAUUAAGAAAAGUUUAAGAGAUAAAACGAUAACUUUUAUUGUGGGUAAUACUUUUUGGAGUGGUGCAUUGUAAUUUGACUGUUUACAUUAUAUGUGUGCAAGAGGCUGGAAAAGGAUAUGUUUUAAUGUAAAUUUCUAUUUUUGGUGAAGAGCAAAAUCUAUCUUCUUAAUGUUCAAUUAUUUUAUAGUAUCACAUUAAUUGUAAUGUAUGAAAAUGAUCAUGAGCUCUGCAGUGUCUUUUACAAUAAAUUUAUCAAAUUUAUGUGAUGAUUUGACACAUGUCUUCCUUCUUUUUUUGCAGGUUGGAGACAUCUUUGAAGAAAUUAUUUUAAAAGAGAAAAGUUUUAAACGGUACUAAUCAUGAUUAUGUUUUGUUUAUAAGUUUUUGCUUGAAUAAACUUUGGGAAAGAUAAUUUUUUGGUAGAAUAUAGUUACUUUUUACAUGUUUUAUCAUAUCACAAAUGUGUUUCUAUUUAUGGUUCUGAUUUUCUGAUUGUGUAUCGUUCACUGAUUUUAUGUAGUUUGAAUGAUUUUAUAUAGUUUGAAAGCAAUUGUAAUUUUAAUUGAAUGGAUAGUGACUUUUUUAAGUUGCGGAAACUGCUUUUAGUUAAACAGCAUACUCACUUCUGCUACUGUUAAUUAAAUUAAAUAUGUGUUUUCUCUUUGUUUGUUACAUGAAAUCAUAUUUGUUUGUUACAUGAAAUCAUAUUUGGUGCUCGAAUUAGAGGUGUUUGUAGUACAUAAUUUCUUUUGAAGCUAAUUUUUUCAUAUAAAUUAAAAGGUGAAGAAAGCGCUCGGGGAACAACUCGUUCAGAUAAAACAAUUGUAACAAAACAACCUCACCACAUUUCAACCCCACUUCCUAGUAACCUCCCUUGUCUCCAUUUUACUUUGUUCAUUACAUUUACAUAUUAUAUAUAAAUAUUUAUAUAAAUUAUGUGUAAUAUACAUAUAUAUAAAUAUAAAUAAUAUUUAUUUUAAUAAUCGGUUCGGUUCGGGUUUUUGCGGUUCGGUUUUGGCCUAAAACCGGAACUCGGAACCGCAACCGUUAUAAUCCGUUCGGUUUUUAAAUUUUCGAUUUCGGAUCGGUUCGGUUUUUAUCGGUUUCACCAAUUUCGGUUACGGUUUCGGUUUCAAUUCGGUUUCUUGCUCACCCCUACUCUCUUAUAUCAUUACGUACAGUUUAAAUUACAAAACACUUGUUCAUUUGCUUUUGGUUUAAUAUGGUGUCGAUAGCAAUUGCUGUUUUUCCAGUUUGCUGGUCCGCGAUUAUAAGUGUUCGUAUGUUUCUUUUUAGUUGUCAAUAUCUCUUUUUUUUGUCACGUCUCAUUUUUUGCCGGUCAAAUUGACGAACAAAGAAAGAGUGGCUUAUAAUUUUUGGUCAAAAAUUAAUCAAUUUGACCGAUGAAAAUAGAAAUGUGACAACUGAAAAUGGACGGAAGGCAUACUAAAAGAUAAGAACUCCAUAAUUUCUUGUUAAAUAUAAUUUUUAAUUAGUUAAAUUAUCAAGAGUGAAUAUAAUAAGUCGAUUAAUAUAAUUUAAUAAAUUUCCAAUUCAUUAAUACUCUAACAUUAGUAAAAUUGGUUUAAUCAUGUCCCUUUAUAACUACAAGUCUGUAACAAGUAGAGUUCUCUUACUCUUAUAUCACUAAACAGAUUCAUAUCGUUUAAUUUUUCAAUUUUUUUUUAACGUAGGAACCCACAGCCGCUACCCUUUGGAUGCACAUUAGGUAAACCCACGAGCUCACGUAAUAGCCUGCAAACCACGUGAACCAAGGUAAACCGCACUUAAGCUGGCCAGGAAUCUUGUAGACUGUAGUACAUCACAGGUGUUUAUAAUUUAAACAUAAAUUAUAAACACAUGUGAUGUACUGCAAGAUAAAAAAAUCCAUUAUUAUUCUUUUAAAUAUAAUUUAUAAUUAGGUAAAUUUUCAAGCGUGAGCAUAAUCAGUUGGUUAAUAUAAUUUAAUAAAAUUUCAAAUUCAUUAAAUUUAAAUUAUAAAUAAUAAAUUUAAAAUUAUAUAAUCGCUCGUGCUUUGCACAGUUUUAAGGCUAGUAUUUUAAAAAGAAGAUAUCGGUUUUUUUAAACGAAAAGUGACGAAUUUAUUAAAAUUUUGAAAUCUAACCGAUACAAAUUCUUGAACUGUCAAUUACAACCUGAUUAUGAAACAAAAAAACGAACUAAACAUAUAACCGUUUUGUUAUUUAACACGCAGAUUUUUUAUUCUUUAAUGUAAAAAGUAUUACAAUCAAAUCUCGAGCAAUCAAACGUACAUCACUUAUGAACAUAGUGGUAUUGCAAUAGACCUCCACAUAUAAACAUGUGCACAAUGUUUAGACCCAUGAGUUACAUCAACUGAUAUUAGAUCAACGACCGAUCCCAAAAUUUAGAGGAAAAAAUAUUGUUGUGAAAGGUGAGCUUUUGCAAUAUUCACCGAUAGAAUACUUACAUUGCCAGAAAAAUUAUUUAUUUUAAUUUUUUAAACUCUAAUAAUUUAAUUUAAGACAUAAUUUUAUAAAAUUGUGAGUCAAAUUCUAUGGAGUUCACAAAAAUAGUGGAGUAUUGGAGUACCGGUUAUAAUUUUUAGUUUAGUCAUAAAUAAUAUCUUUGAUUAUUUAAUUUCAUAUAUAAUUUAUCAUUUAUAAUUAGUUUAACAAGUAUUAUGAUUAUUAUUCUGAUAUUAUGAUCAGGAAUUAUAUUAUGAUUAUUGUUCUGAUACUAUAAUUUCGACAUUAAAAAGAUGGGAAAAUAGAUCUUUUUGCCACCCAACUUAUUAUUUAUUUAGAAACCUACUACUGAACUAUAAUUUUUUCCUUUUUUUCCACUAAUGUUAGGUUCAGAUUUUUUUUAUCACUAACGUUAGGUUCGAAUUUGAUUAUUAAAACUAUAUUAUUCUUUUUAGCAUUAUUAAAAUAUAGUGUUAAUCUGUAAUAUUAUGGUGAUCUGAUAUGUGUCUAUAUCUUUAUAUUGCAGACUAUCACUAUGUUUUAAUAAUACUAAAAUUAAUAAUAUAGUGUUAAUAAUGAAAUCUGAACCUAACGUUAGUGACAAAAAAAAUCCGAACCUAACGUUAGUGGCAAAAAAGAAAAAUAUUAUAGUUCAGUGUUAGGUUUCUAAAUAAAUAAUAAGUUGGAUGGUAAAAAAAUCUAUUUUCUCUAAAAAGAUCAUAUUCAAUUACAAAAUUUAAGAUAUUUUCAAAAAAAAAAAUACAAAAUUUAAGAUGUUAAAAAAGAAUUUAAUUUAGAUCUUAUUAUUUCUUCGGAAAAAAAGCAUCGUAGAAAUUGUUGGUGAUUUAUGCUUUCUUUUUCCUUAUAAUUACUUCUCUUUUAUGGUUUCUCAAAUUUUAGUUACUCUAUCCUAAAGUUGCUCCGGAACUCUUGCAAGGUUCUCGAACAUCCAUUAGUAGCAAGAGUUGGAUUUAUUUCUAGACCUGCAAAGUUUAUGGUAAGAGAUGAUUUUAUUGCGACACCAUUAUAUAAUCAGUGAUCUUUCAAAGUUCCAAUUAAUGAUGUUCAGCAAAAGAUAGUGCAAAUUGGCCCGUAGGAGUGAGUUAAUUGCAACUUCUGUAAACAUAUCAGCUUAUGACAGUGUUUUGAAGUGUAAAAAUAUGAGAAAUUAAACUUCAUGGAUUGAAGUGAAAUUUUAAUAUGUUUAUGAUUUCAAAAACAGGAGUGGUGAAUGUUUAUGAUUUUGAGUUUACUGACGUAUAAAAAUCUGCAAACAUGAUUAUUAUUAUGUUAUGAAAUUCGCUAUAUACAGAUUGCAUCCCAUUGUCCUAGUACAAGACAAGGCUAAAAAACCAUGUCGAAAAUAGUAAGCAGCAACUAGAGACAGCGACUCAAUGUCCACGAUCAAAUGAUCAUCUUGUUCUUCAUAUCUAGUAGCUACAAGAAGAAAGUUUCAGUUACAUGUAACAUAAAUGUAAUUCAGAAUGAAUGAGAAGACGAUUUACAGGUACGCAAGCAUCUAUGAAUUUACCUUCAGACGGAUAAAACCAACUUCUCAAGCACAGCAGGGCUUCUAUAUCUUGCAUAUUCCAUGAAAAUACAGAUUUAGAAAUUGCUUUUCUAUUCCAUGAGUAUCUUAAGAAGAUUUAGAAAUUUAUCUUAUGGUGAAUCCUUCCGCCUUUGUUUUAAGACAGAACAAAGAAUGUCAGGUUCCUCCUUCAAGAUUCUUUUUGCAAUCUAUUGGUAAUUACUAUCAAAUAGGAUGAGAAUGAGCAGUACUAUCAUGCUUGGCAUUACUUUUGUGAUUGUAUCGAUGAUCAUGACAAGAAUUGCAUCAGACUCUCAGGCGGAAGAGCUCCUAGAGCGGUGCAGUAGAUUUGAAGUAACAACAGACCUGUCGACUUUCUUGAGUAGUGUUAACAAGACCCUUGGAGAGAUGUGAAAACAGCUGUUUAAUGCACACGUUGCGACAGCAUAUGAAACAGAUGUGUUCGGGAUGGCUCAGUGCAGGAACUAUCUCUCAACUGUGGAUUGUUUGGCUUGCUUUGAUGCUGGAGUCACUCAAAUUAGACGUAAGUGUGAUGCUACAAUGGAUGGAGCGCACUUUAUAUACCAAGGAUGCUUCCUCAGGUCUUUCAUCUGCCAUUUUUUUUCUAUAAGUUUGAUCACAAGUUGAAUUCUGAUCAUCAGCAUUCUUCGUUUAUUACUGUAUUGAAUUAACUUUUCUUUAAUCAAAAGUAAAAGUCAUAUCCAGGAAUCUGAAGCCAUAAUCUCUGAUGCAAUCCAGGAAUCCUGUUUUGCACUUAAUAUACUUAUGGCUUGUUUAUUUGAAUAGGUACGGAAUUUACAACUUCUACAAAGAGAUAACAUUUGAAAGCCCUGUAUUGGUUUGUAGCUACAAUCAUAGUGUAGCCGAGCCAACUGCUUUCAAUUCAAUAGCGCAAGAAUUAUUAACAGAGAUUGCUGCUGCCACACCAAAGAUUAAAAAUUACUUUGCAGCAGCAAAAAGGCAAGCGUUCAGUAGCAGUACAGCACCAACAGUGUAUGCUGCUGCCCAAUGUCUGGAGACUAUAAGCCCGAGUGACUGCAGAAAUUGCUUGGCAAGGGUAUAUACAGACUUGCAAACAUGUCUUCCGCAACCAGGGGGAAGUUCUGUAGAACCAGGUUGUUUUCUCAGAUAUUCUGACAGAUCUUUCUUCGCUGAUAGCAACAUAACCAAUAUCACACCAUACACAGGAGGAGGUAAUACAUGAUCAUCUACCCUGAGCUCUUCUCAUAUAUACUUGAGGGUUAUUUAUAUUCACCUACUCUCGACUUUUCCAGGUGUAUUUUUUAUUUUCCGACUUAUGACUGUUACCCCAUUGUUUCUUUGCAAAACUGAGACUAGUUUGACCACAUCCGCAUUUGAUUCAAAUUAUGAUAUUUCAGGAAGUUCAAGCUCAAGAAAAACCAUCAUUGGAAUUGUUGGUGGUUUAUGCUUUCUUUUCCUUAUAAUCGCUUCAGUUUUAUGGUAUCGUUUCCAGAAGGCGAAGGUAGCUGAAAGAGGUGAUAAAGCAUGAUUAAGUGAACUUUCAAAUCUAUUUUUCACUCACCAUUUUUUUAAUGGAUUGUUUUCUGUGUACUAGGUGAUUUAUUACAAGUAACCAAGCUGCAGGGUACAAUUAUCUACAGUUAUAAAGAUUUAAAAUCAGCAACAAAGAGUUUUAGCAAUGAUUGCAAAAUAGGAGAAGGAGGUUUUGCAGAUGUAUACAAGGUAAUCUUUGAUCUCUCACUUACAGUCGUCGAAUAUUGAUGGAAGCUUAUAGAUGCUAUGUGAUUAUUUCACUGUACAGGGAAUAAUAAACAAUGGAGAUGUAGUAGCAGUAAAGAAACAUGUUCUGACUUCAAAGAAAGCAAAAGAAGAUUUUGAGGGUGAAGUUAGUCUCAUAAGUAAUAUUCAUCACCGGAAUGUCAUCCGAUUACUGGGAUGCAGUCACAAAGGAUCAGAGCUACUCCUUGUCUACGAAUACAUGGAGAAUGGAAGCCUUGAUAAAUUCUUAUAUGGUAACUUGACCUUAGCAUAUAACGAGCCACUUCUUGUGAACACCUUAAAGGCAGUGCUCAUAUCUGUCCCUAUUUGGCAGGUGAAAAGCAGGGGACUCUUACCUGGAAACAACGUGUUGAGAUUAUUCUUGGCAUAGCUAGGGGCCUUGCUUAUCUUCACGAAGAAUUUCAUUUGUGUAUCAUACAUAGAGAUAUCAAAUCUAGCAACAUUCUACUCGACGAGGGCUUUCAACCAAAAAUUGCAGAUUUUGGGUUGGCAAGACUCACACGUGAGGAUCAAAGUCAUCUUAGUACUAGAUAUGCUGGCACAUUGUAAGUUAACCAACAAUCUGUCAAGACUCUCUAAAAUAUACUCGUCAUUCAAUUAAUAUAUUCGCGAUAUCAGGGGUUACACAGCACCAGAAUAUGCAAUUCAUGGACACUUGACGGAGAAAAUUGAUACCUACAGCUUCGGAAUUGUUGUACUUAAAAUCAUAAGUGGCCUUCACUGCACUGACAUGAAGAUUGAUCCUGUCAACGGUUCACUACUUGAACAUGUAAGCAAAGUCUGUUUACGACUUAAAGUGAGACUCAAAUCUUUAUUUGGUUAUCUUCUGAGUGUGGUUUCCAUGUCAUAAUGUGACAGGCCUGGAAGUUGUACGAAGAUGACAAGCAUCUUGAUUUGGUGGAUGAGAAACUUGAUCCAAAUGAGUAUAGUAGAGAACAUGUUAAAAAGAUGGUACAUCUUGCCUUAAUGUGCACUCAGUCGCCGGCUUCUCAGAGGCCACCAAUGUCUGAAGUAGUUGCUUUGCUUAAUAGUGAAGUUCUGUUCGAGCAAAGUCCAUUAAGCAUGCCAACAUUGGUCUAACAUAUCAAUAGAUUGACAAGAUUACCAUUUACCAAGCUUAUUAUACUUCAUAACUUUGGGUAUGUUGAUUUUCAAGAUUUUCUGUAACUUAGUACUGGGGUAAAGUAUAAUGUGCAAGCAUCUUCGGCUGCUGAUAUUUUGAUGCUACAUAAUUUUCAAGAUUUUGUUUGAUUGGUUAAUUCAUUCGAGGGAUUGUUCGUAAUUUUGAUGUUUUCUGUUUUAGUUGUCGUUUACGAGCUGAUCACAGGGAGGCAUGGGUGUUACAAGUUUAAUGUUUGUAUGGAGAAAUAAGAACUAUUACAGUAUCUGUUACCACUUCCACAAAAAACUCAGCUCAGUGUAUGAAUUGCUAUCCUUUCAUAUUCUAUCACGUGUUCUUAUUUAUUUUCAGGACAGCAAAAACAAUUGUAGAUGCUGUCAUGGGACUCAGUUUUGAUGAUCCACCUAGCAACCUUGCUGCUGCAGCUCUUUCUUACAUCCUUACGAGUGAUGUAAGUUUUCGGUACUCUGAUGAAAUAUGCUUUCUCUAGUUUUUAGGUGCAUAAAUAUGGUGAUAGAUGUUGCAUGAUUCUCCUACUGUUUGCUGGUAAUCCAAGGUAUUGUAUGUUAAAUACUUAAUGAAGACCACAUGAAAAUUCUGUAUGGGGAUUAGAUAUAUACCACCAUAUCCUCCUUCCAUGGUUGUAGAAACGGGGAAUCAGGACUUGACCGAGAUUUAUCGGAGAUUUUUUGAAUAAAUCGAGGAUUUUUAGUCAUAUUAGAGUGUAAUCGGAGAAUUUAUUUUAAGGAUUCAUCGGGGAUUUUAAUAAAUCGGGGAUCUUUAGAACACUGUGGCUGCAUUGCAUAAUAACCAUGGAUAAAUUUUUUCUUGCAGAAUAUUUAAAAAGGUUUUAUGGCACUGGACUUGAUAAUUUUCUGACAUUUGUGGCCUACUGAUUAGAUAACAUACUAGGAUCAUGCUUUCUGAAAUGAGUUUGCAUGCAUACUAUUACUGUAAAAUCUUGUCAUAACUGAAGCUCACUGGUCACUUGGGGCAAGAACUUCCUAUGCAAAGCAUGGAGAAUUGGAUCUGAGUAGGUCCAUUGGCAUGUAGGUGGUAGAGGGUAUCUGCCGAUAUACUACUUCAACUCUGUCACAGCUGUUUGAAUAGAAAAGACAGCAAGUCCAGAAUUCUUCAUCCUGAAUAUACUUGCAUCAAAACUACCUCUUCUAAAUGAGCGCUCCGUUCUGAUCCAGUCCAAUCAUAAAGGCAAAUUAUAUACAGAGGAAACAAUCAAAAAGGCAAUUAAAUAUAUUUGUAAACACCAGUACACCACAUUUGCACUCAUUAAGAAGAAUACUCUUUGCUUUCCUCGAUUAAUCACCAGAGCAACAGGAAGAGGAAUAGAGGAACUCUCUGAAAUAGAACUUAAACAAUAUUUCAUAGGACAAACUCAUCCAAGAGCAGUUGUUAAAUUCCAAGUUUAAUAGCACAUGAGGUUCAUGGACUUGUUAUCUCAUACUAAUCAACAGUUACAACACAUACAUUAAGUAAUCUAAUAGAUGUAUAACUGAUCCAUAAAAAAUUAAUGUUCAUCACUUGAAACAGAAAAAAGUAACUAUGGCAAGAACCUCUUACACAAAGCAAGCAAAUUUGUAAUUUCAGUACAUGGAAGAAAAUAUAUUACUUAGUAGGAGAACUGCAAACUUUACAAGAAUGACAUAAACAUAAUAGUAGUAGAGCCUGUCCUCACUACAUACCAUCAUGAUUGUUACUGCCUGCAAAUUUGUGAAAAAUGCUAGCAAAAUCGAAAAGAUUAUGUACCCGGGCACUCUCUUCCUUCCACACACCUAUGGAGAGUACUUAUCACGCAAGGCAAGGAGAGGAGGAUCCGGUUCUUGCACUUCAAGUAAGUUCAGUAAUGCAGAUGCUGUAGAUGCAUCUGCUGCAAAGCAGCGACCAAGCAUUUCAUCUAGGAAUACACCUGCUUCAUAGUACUUCUUAUUGUGUAAACAACCACGGAUUAGCAUGUUGUAUGUGACAUCAUUAGGCAAGCAAUCAUUAGCUUCCAUUUCCCUCAAUAGUUCGUUCGCUUCAUCCAAUAACCCUCCAUGACAAUAUGCUUGGAUCAUCAUUGUGUAUGUCUUGACAUCAGGUCGCAAACCUUUUGCAGCAAGGUUGUUAAAAAGAGUUCUUGCUUCUUUAAGUUGUCCAUUUUUGCUUAAUCCAUCAAUCAGAAUGGUGUAGAUGCAUAUAUCUGGAACUAACCCACUGCAUUCCAUCAUUUGAAAAAAGGACAGUGCUUCACGAACAUAAUGGUUCUCACAAAGACCAUUCACUAUAAUAGCGCAAGUCACUCUAUCCAACUGAAGACCUUCGUUCAGCAACAUCUUUUCCUUAAAAAAUUUGCGCGCUUCAACAUGUCUUCCAGCAUGAAAAAAACCUUGCAAUAUAGUAUUGUAAGUCUCAAUAGUUGGGGUUAAACCUUCAGAGGGCAUUUGUAGAAAAAGAUCUAUUGCUCUGUCCACUUUCAUCUUUUUACAAUAUCCGUUGAUGAGGAUACUAUAGCUAUGAGUAUCAGGCAAUAUUCCCUCUCUCGUCAUGCUUUCGAACACUGCUAAUGCUUUAUCAACCUCUCCCCGCAAGCAGUAUCCUUCCAUGAGUGCACUAUAUGUUACUACAUCAGGACAAUGGCCUCUUUGAAUCAUUAUCUCUAUCACAUCCUCUGCAUCUUUAAUCAUUCCUUCUUUGCAAUACGCAUCAAUCAAUAUAUUGUAAGUAAAAACAUUUCGAGAAAUGUUCCUAAAAUCCAUCUCCUUGAGCAGUUGUUUGACAUCAUGCCAUCGAUUAAAGUCACACAGACCUUGAAUUACUGAGUUGUAGGUUAUAACAUCUGGGGAUAUGCCUUUCCUUGUCAUUUGAUGGAGAAGACCCAAUGCUUGAUCGACUAACCUAUAUUUACAUAAACAGUCAAUAAGUGUGUUGUAAGUUACAGUAUUAGGCUUGCAACCUUGCUUCACCAUAUUCUUGAACAACUUAACAGCCACAGAAGGAUUCCCUCUCUUGCAGAUGCCGUGAAUAAUAGUUGUAUAGGUAACAACAUCGGGUUGAAUAAGUUUAAAUCUGAUGAGGUUCUGGAACAAAAGCUGAGCCUCUUGAAGCAUAUCUUGGGAAAUAAGGCCCCUGAUGAGAGUGGUAU
rnacentral:lncRNA from 1 species